rnacentral:lncRNA from 1 species
AAGAUGGAAAGAUUGCCUGCUUGGCUCUGCAAGGUCCUUCGCCGAGAACAGUUGAUGAUAUCUGGAGAGUGAUGGCAUCUCACAAAUGUCAGCUAAAAUGUUAAAGAUAUUGGCCAGACAGCAAAGAUGAGAAACUCGACUUCGCUGGCUUGGAAAUACCAUUGGCUCUGAGCUCCUUAGCAGCUUGCUGGAUGGUGGGUCAUAUCUAGAGAGUGUAUGUAAACGUCUCAACACUAAAAUGGCGGAUGUUGGAGACUAUCGCGCUGUUUGUUCAUGUUAUGAAAUUGACAUCUAUACAGUGACUUCAUAUUUUGAAAAGCACAAUGUCGGGCCAUCCCGAGCCUUCACUGAAUACUUGGCAGCCUCUCCUGAACAGCUAACCGUUGCUGAAUUUUGAAGUGUAUUGAGAAACAACGCAAAAAGAGGUGACAUUGCCAUUCUUCUGGAGGAACAUCACAAACAGGAAGAAACAUUAGAAAAAUCUGGUUUCAUUUUUAACUAUUCUUAUGAGAGUUUCUAAUCGAGUCUUAAUAUUCAAUAGAAAAGCAAAAUGCCGGUAGUUGCAUGGUCCUUCUGAAAAAAAGAAAAGUAAAAUGUAAAAUGAAAUUAAAUUAGAUUCCACGGAGCAGUGAGAUAAGUAAAAAGAAACAAAAUCAAGAAGGAAAGACACAAAAAAGAAAAAUUAAGUUGUAGUUUUUGGGUUGACUUACACCAUUUUCAGUUUGCAAUGAAAGAGAUUUUGCGAAAGCUCAGUGGAUAUCCAGAUACAAAAAUAUAUGAAGAGAAUGAUCACUAUUAUAGAAUGACGGGUAUUGUUGUAUUUUUAUCGCAGGUGCGUGGUUUGAACACUGGUCGCGCGUAAGGCUUUUGGUAACGUUUUUAUAUUUCAUCAUUGGCAUUUUAAUGUCCAGCAUUUGAAUUUUUGUAUUCCAAGGCACUUACAAGAUCUAUGUAUCCUAUGUCCAUAGAUUAAAUCCACACGCUUGUGUGACAUAAAUGUAUUACCUACGUAACUUUAUGGUUGGCCCUAAGUAAAGCUAUUAUACGUA